AUAUUGGGAAUGGGCGAAAGCCUGACCCAGCAACGCCGCGUGGAUGAUGAAGGCCCUAGGGUCGUAAAAUCCUUUUGCAGGGGACGAAUGUCCGGCCGGUGAAUAAUCGGUCGGAGUGACGGUACCCUCAGAGGAAGCACCGGCUAACUCUGUGCCAGCAGCCGCGGUAAUACAGAGGGUGCAAGCGUUGUUCGGAAUCACUGGGCGUAAAGCGCGCGCAGGCGGAUAGAGCAAGUCUGGAGUGAAAUCUCGCCGCUCAACGGCGGGGCUGCUUUGGAUACUGCAUAUCUGGAGAUCGGUAGAGGCUGGUAGAAUUGCUGGUGUAGCGGUGGAAUGCGUAGAGAUCAGCAAGAAUACCCGUGGCGAAGGCGGCCAGCUGGGCCGAAUCUGACGCUGAGGCGCGAAAGCGUGGGGAGCAAACAGG
rnacentral:rRNA from 1 species